rnacentral:rRNA from 1 species
UACUGGGCGUAAAGCGCACGCAUGUGGUCUGUUAAGUCAGAUGUGCAAUCCCCGGGCUCAACCCGGGAACUGCAUUUGUAACUGGCAGGCUUGAGUCUCGUAGAGGGGGGUAGAAUUCCAGGUGUAUCGGUGAUAUGCGUAUAGAUCUGGAUGAAUACCGGUGGCGAAGGCGGCCCCCUGGACGAAGACUGACGCUCUGGUGCGAAAGCGUGGGGGAGCAAACAGGAUUAGAUACCCUGGUAGUCCACGCCGUAAACGAUGUCGACUUGGAGGCUGUAGUCUUUGAACUGUGGCUUCCGGAGCUAACGCGUUAAGUCGACCGCCUGGGGAGUACGGCCGCAAGGUUAAAACUCAAAUGAAUUGACGGGGGCCCGCACAAGCGGUGGAGCAUGUGGUUUAAUUCGAUGCAACGCGAAGAACCUUACCUGGCCUUGACAUCCACGGAAGUUUUCAGAGAUGAGAACGUGCCUUCGGGAACCGUGAGACAGGUGCUGCAUGGCUGUCGUCAGCUCGUGUUGUGAAAUGUUGGGUUAAGUCCCGCAACGAGCGCAACCCUUAUCCUUUGUUGCCAGCGACUUGGUCGGGAACUCAAAGGAGACUGCCGGUGAUAAACCGGAGGAAGGUGGGGAUGACGUCAAGUCAUCAUGGCCCUUACGGCCAGGGCUACACACGUGCUACAAUGGCGCAUACAAAGAGAAGCGACCUCGCGAGAGCAAGCGGACCUCAUAAAGUGCGUCGUAGUCCGGAUCGGAGUCUGCAACUCGACUCCGUGAAGUCGGAAUCGCUAGUAAUCGUGGAUCAGAAUGCCACGGUGAAUACGUUCCCGGGCCUUGUACACACC